rnacentral:rRNA from 1 species
CCGGAUUUAUUGGGCGUAAAGCGAGCGCAGGCGGUUAGAUAAGUCUGAAGUUAAAGGCUGUGGCUUAACCAUAGUACGCUUUGGAAACUGUUUAACUUGAGUGCAAGAGGGGAGAGUGGAAUUCCAUGUGUAGCGGUGAAAUGCGUAGAUAUAUGGAGGAACACCGGUGGCGAAAGCGGCUCUCUGGCUUGUAACUGACGCUGAGGCUCGAAAGCGUGGGGAGCAAACAGGAUUAGAUACCCUGGUAGUCCACGCCGUAAACGAUGAGUGCUAGGUGUUAGACCCUUUCCGGGGUUUAGUGCCGUAGCUAACGCAUUAAGCACUCCGCCUGGGGAGUACGACCGCAAGGUUGAAACUCAAAGGAAUUGACGGGGGCCCGCACAAGCGGUGGAGUAUGUGGUUUAAUUCGACGCAACGCGAAGAACCUUACCAGGUCUUGACAUUGAUGGACAGAACUAGAGAUAGUUCCUCUUCUUCGGAAGCCAGAAAACAGGUGGUGCACGGUUGUCGUCAGCUCGUGUCGUG